UAUCUGAAUAAGGAUCAAAUUCUUAUCUGGAUUACAGCAGAAUUGGGGAUCAAAUCUCCAAAAUUUGGAUUCAACCUUCGUAUAGGGCUGAAACUGCAGGCAAUGCAGGAAAGCAGGAUGAAUCUCUAGAUUGAUGCACCUUCGCAAAUCCACCAAAGGAGGGAAGAGAGGUGCUGGUGUGAUGCCUCACACCAAUAAGAGGGGAUGCCCAAGGAGGGCCUCCGGCUUGGAGAGGGUGGGCAG
rnacentral:lncRNA from 1 species